UCUGCUUGUUCUCUCUGAUUGAUGUCCUAGGGCCAGGGAAGUUCUGAAGGGACGUACAAAUGGGCAACACUGAGCUCGGUUUUGGGCUCUGAGCCCCACCACCUGCAUUGUAUGUAUCCUCUGCCUCACCCCCAGUCAGUUGUAUGGUUCAAGGGUUAUAUUCUAAGAGACCACAUCCCAGGCAAUGGAAGAAUCCAAGGAACACAGAACCGAAUAUUCCCUGGUCAGUGAAGUCCAGGAUCUCCUGCCCUGUGACUUGAUCUUCCUUCAACCACCCAACUCACCACACUUCAGGAGCUCUUCUAGUCCAAUACCAGCUGAAUCAGAGAAGAUGAGUGCCUCAGAGAUGGCCUCACAUGGUGGCUCAGUAUGUUAUGAAUACCUGGAGGACCCUCUAAAUGGAAAAAGAAAGUUUUGUGAACCACUGCUGGAUACAUCUAAACACAGUAGACAAGGUGAGACUUGCAUCCGGCUGAGAGCCCUGGGUAGGGCUGUGGGUCAGCCAAUGAGUCCUCACAGAUAAGGGUAUAUCUGCAAUGGGACUGAGGUGGGACACUGUAGAGAAGAAUAAAGAAGCAGGAAUGGGUUUGAA
rnacentral:lncRNA from 1 species